UCAGACGAUGCGUCAUGCAUAUCAAUAAGCGGAGGAAAAGAAACUAACAAGGAUUCCCUCAGUAACGGUGAGUGAAGCGGGAAGAGCUCAAAUUUGAAAUCUUGAAAGGUCACCUUUCACGAAUUGUAGUUUAAAGAAGUGUUUUCUGUUACGAUCGUAAUAUAAGUUCUUUGGAAUAGGACAUCACAGAGGGUGAGAAUCCCGUCUAUGAUUGCGAUUUGUAGCUUUGUGAUACACUUUCAAAGAGUCGGAUUGUUUGGGAAUGCAGUCCAAAAUGGGUGGUAAAUUUCAUCUAAAGCUAAAUAUUGGCGAGAGACCGAUAGCGAACAAGUACCGUGAGGGAAAGAUGAAAAGAACUUUGAAAAGAGAGUUAAACAGUACGUGAAAUUGUCAAAAGGGAAGCGUUUGACACCAGUGUUGUUUUCUCGAAAAUCAAUUUAAAAUGGCCGGAUGCUAAGUGGCUAAGACUUUAUCAGCUUGUUUCUUAGUUUUCUUGUCUUUUUAAAUGCACUUUUCGUUUAACAAGUCAACAUCAAUUUCUUUUGCUGUAAAAGGGUAAGAGGAAGGUGGCUUUGACUUCGGUUAAAGUGUUUAUAGCCUUUUACCUCUGCAGUCGGAGAGAUUGAGGUCUGCAGCGUAGACUCUUCGGGGUUAGAUACAUUUGUGCUAAGCUAUAGCUUUUUAUAGACAACUUGUUGACUAUGAUUAGUCUUGUAGUUUACUCGCUUAUGCUAUUUUACCUACGCUUAGGAUGUUGAAGAUGUAGCACAUCAU
rnacentral:rRNA from 1 species